rnacentral:rRNA from 1 species
UACGAAGGGGGCUAGCGUUGCUCGGAAUCACGUGGCGUAAAGCGCACGUAGGCGGCUUUCUAAGUCAGGGGUGAAAUCCUGGAGCUCAACUCCAGAACUGCCUUUGAUACUGGAGAGCUAGAGUCCGGAAGAGGUGAGUGGAACUGCGAGUGUAGAGGUGAAAUUCGUAGAUAUUCGCAAGAACACCAGUGGCGAAGGCGGCUCACUGGUCCGGUACUGACGCUGAGGUGCGAAAGCGUGGGGAGCAAACAGG